rnacentral:rRNA from 1 species
AGAGUUUGAUCAUGGCUCAGAUUGAACGCUGGCGGCAGGCUUAACACAUGCAAGUCGAACGAUGAUUAUCUAGCUUGCUAGAUAUGAUUAGUGGCGGACGGGUGAGUAACAUUUAGGAAUCUGCCUAGUAGUGGGGGAUAGCUCGGGGAAACUCGAAUUAAUACCGCAUACGACCUACGGGUGAAAGGGGGCGCAAGCUCUUGCUAUUAGAUGAGCCUAAAUCAGAUUAGCUAGUUGGUGGGGUAAAGGCCCACCAAGGCGACGAUCUGUAACUGGUCUGAGAGGAUGAUCAGUCACACCGGAACUGAGACACGGUCCGGACUCCUACGGGAGGCAGCAGUGGGGAAUAUUGGACAAUGGGGGCAACCCUGAUCCAGCCAUGCCGCGUGUGUGAAGAAGGCCUUUUGGUUGUAAAGCACUUUAAGCAGGGAGGAGAGGCUAAUGGUUAAUACCCAUUAGAUUAGACGUUACCUGCAGAAUAAGCACCGGCUAACUCUGUGCCAGCAGCCGCGGUAAUACAGAGGGUGCGAGCGUUAAUCGGAAUUACUGGGCGUAAAGCGAGUGUAGGUGGCUCAUUAAGUCACAUGUGAAAUCCCCGGGCUUAACCUGGGAACUGCAUGUGAUACUGGUGGUGCUAGAAUAUGUGAGAGGGAAGUAGAAUUCCAGGUGUAGCGGUGAAAUGCGUAGAGAUCUGGAGGAAUACCGAUGGCGAAGGCAGCUUCCUGGCAUAAUAUUGACACUGAGAUUCGAAAGCGUGGGUAGCAAACAGGAUUAGAUACCCUGGUAGUCCACGCCGUAAACGAUGUCUACUAGCC